UACAGGUUUAUGCCAUCAUGCCUGGCUAAGUUUUUAAAAAAUUUUUUGAGGCCAGGCCCAGUGGCUCAUGCCUGUA
rnacentral:miRNA from 1 species